CUGAGUCGGGCAGUCUGAGGCUGAGCGGAGGCAGGAGAGUAAUUAACAGAGCAGCUGGUCUACUGACAGCCAGUUGCUCUGCUUCACUGCUGCUGGCCCCGCCCACCUCACUCAGAGUGGGCUGCGUGUAACACACAGCCCAGCUUACCUCUUCCUGGUCCUGCAAUCUGCAUGUGGCUGCUCAGUGCUGACUCCCCCACCACACUGUCCUGGGACAGUUCCCUGCUCCUCACAGGAAAGAGCAGCAAAGCCAGCAGGUUGUCAUGACACCGGACGGCGGCGCCUGCAGAUGACGUCAUUGGACCGGGCGGGAAGUGACGGACGGACGCAGCGGGCGGACUGCCUCAUGCACAAUCAGAGGAGGCUAUAUAGGUGCGGGGUCUGGUAGACAAGUAUCGGUCUUCACAGCGCACUACAUUCUCCAUAAUCCAAUGCGGCAACGACGCGUGCCUAGUUACUAUGGCACCGGGCGGCCGCGCACUGAUGACGUCAUCCGACGGCGCCAAUCCACGGAAUCCUUUAGCGCCGGCUGAGUGCACACAUGGGGCUUCUUCCACACUAUAAAGGUGCGGGGUCUGGUAGACAAGUAUCGGUCUUCACAGCGCACUACAUUCUCCAUAAUCCAAUGCGGCAACGACGCGUGCCUAGUUACUAUGGCACCGGGCGGCCGCGCACUGAUGACGUCAUUCGACGGCGCCGAUCCACGGAAUCGUUUAGCGCCGGCUGAGUACACACAUGGGGCUUCUUCCACACUAUAAAGGUAACUGAAGAUAGCUAUGACAAAAGAGGAGAGAACAGAGGUCAUUUUGAUGUCUGGAGAACAAAGUUUCCGUGUCAUAGCUGCAGAUUAUAACAUUCAGCACCCAGAAAGACCUCCAAAUCCACAUACCGCUGUCAGGUGCAUAAUUUCCAAAUUCCGAGAAACUGGGACUGUGACUGACAAGUCACGGAGUGAUCGUCACCUUUCAGGUGGUCCCCUGCUGGUGGAGACCAAAUAUAGAAAUGCAGAAAAAGAAUUACCUAAGAUUGUCCCAUUCAUUCUAUAUGGACUGGACCGCUACAUUUAUCAAUAAAGAAAGCCUGACUGAAAAGUUUUUGGAUACUUAGACACUCAGACCAACUUUCCAUCUAUCCACAUGAUAAAACUUACCUGUCUUAGACGGCGGAGCACCAUGUAAGUAGAUGUUUACCAUUGUACCUGUUUUGCUGUUGCUCUCAUAUAUUCUGUAACUCCAGGUGAAAUACGGAGUUUUUAUUCCCCGCUUCUCGGAGCAUUGUUAUUUUUUGCUUACGUGUACACAAUGGACCGUUAUCUAGUUUUCCAUUUUUGUACUGUGCCAUAUAUGUAUUGAAAUGGCUUUUGUGAAUCAAUAAAAAUAUUAUUUAAAAAAAA